rnacentral:rRNA from 1 species
AUGGAAUGUGUUUCAUCAGUGAAAUAUUCUGUUAAGUUGAAUGGCAAACUUCUGGAGCAAUUCUCCCCAUUCCGGGGUUUACGUCAAGGUGAUCCAUUGUCCCCAUUCUUGUUCUUAUUUGUUGCUGAUGCUCUUUCUGCAUUGUUGAACAAGUCAAUGGCGAACCAUGGUUUGGAGCCGGUGGUUAUUUGUCGGAACGCGUCGGCAAUAUCCCACCUACUAUUUGCAGACGAUUCCCUCUUAUUUUUUCGUGCAAGUGUUGAGCAAGCUACAGUUGUGAAGGAUGUUUUGACCAUGUAUGCAACGACUACUGGGCAAUUGAUUAAUCCGUCGAAGUGUUCCAUUCUUUUCUCUGGGAAUUGCCCUAGCACGGUUUCACAAGAGGUAAUGGGUAUUUUGGAGAUCACUCAGGAAAUAUUUGAUCCUAAGUAUCUUGGGUUGCCAGUGCCUACGGGCAGAAUGCAUAAAGGGCGGUUUCAAACUAUUCAAGCGAGACUAAGUAAGAGGCUAGUUGACUGGAGCGAGAAAUAUAUGGCGUCCUCUAGAAAAGAGAUUCUUAUUAAAUCAGUGGCUCAGGCAAUUCCCACUUAUGUGAUGAGUGUCUUUAAACUCCCUUAUUCAGUUUGUGACGAUCUUACAAGAAUGAUGCGUCAAUACUGGUGGGGAGUUGAGAAUGGUCAAGGGAAGAUGGCAUGGGUUGCUUGGGACAAGCUUACUCUUCCAAAGAAGAAAGGAGGCCUUGGUUUUAGGGAUAUGAGGGCCUUUCAUCAAGCACUCUUGGCCAAGCAAACAUGGCGGUUGAUUGUGAAACCAGAUAUUCUAUGUGCUCAUUUGUUGAAGGCUAGAUACUUCCCUAAUGGUAAUUUGGUUGAUAAGUAUUUUCAGGGAAUUCUUCUGCAGUUUGGAAAGGCAUUGAGCACGGUCUGGUGUUGCUGA